rnacentral:miRNA from 1 species
UUACUAUUGAGAAGAAUUACCUAAAAUGCUUAUUUAGAAUAAGCCCCUACUCCAGAGCUAGAGAAUCAGAAUUGCCAGGGGUGGGGCCCAGGAAUCUGCAUUUUAGCAAAGGAC